UACGUAGGUGGCAAGCGUUGUCCGGAUUUACUGGGCGUAAAGAGCGCGCAGGCGGUUGGAUAAGUCGAAUGUGAAAGCCCCCGGCUCAACUGGGGAGGGUCAUUCGAUACUGUCCGACUCGAAGGCAGGAGAGGGAAGCGGAAUUCCCGGUGUAGUGGUGAAAUGCGUAGAUAUCGGGAGGAACACCAGUGGCGAAGGCGGCUUUCUGGCCUGUUCUUGACGCUGAGGCGCGAAAGCCAGGGGAGCAAACAGG
rnacentral:rRNA from 1 species